rnacentral:lncRNA from 1 species
GUAGAAGGAAAUUGUGUGGUUUAUUUAUUUUUCUCUAAAUUAUUUUAUAUAGUAUGUUGAGUUGUUUUUCAUCUUUUUAAUUUAGUGUUGCAUUUUAAUAAUUUUAACUGUGCUAGAUAUUUGUUUGUUAUGGUGUUGGAUUUAGUAUUUUCUUUUACUUUAAUGUUGUCUAAUAUGUUCGGUCUUGUUACUUUAAUUGUAAUGAUAGCUUAAAUUAGUUUGGUUGUUUCUUAGUGAUAUUACUUGCUUCCUUGAGAUUUAUUGGAUUGUCUUUAUGUUUAUUCUGUUCUGCCUG